rnacentral:rRNA from 1 species
AUUGAACGCUGGCGGCAGGCCUAACACAUGCAAGUCGAACGCGUGGCGGACGGGUGUGUAAUGUCUGGGACACUGCCUGAUAGGGGGGGAUCACUAGUGGAAACGGUCUCUAAUACCGCAUACCAUCAGAUGUGCCCAGAUGGGAUUAGCGUGUUGGUGGGGUAACGGCUCACCAGGGCGACGACCCCUAGCUGGUCUGAGAGGAUGACCAGCCACACGGGAACGGAGACACGGUCCAGACUCCUACGGGAGGCAGCAGUGGGGAAUAUUGCACAAUGGGCGCAAGCCUGAUGCAGCCAUGCCGCGUGUAUGAAGAAGGCCUUCGGGUUGUAAAGUACUUUCAGCGGGGAGGCGUUACCCGCAGAAGAAGCACCGGCUAACUCCGUGCCAGCAGCCGCGGUAAUUC